rnacentral:tRNA from 1 species
GGGGCCAUGGAUUAGUGGAACGGCAAGGUUUUCGCUUGUUGCACUUUAGAUCGUUCGCUUGGCAUGCGAAAGGCCGCGGGUUCAAUUCCCGCUGGCUCCA